CGAAUGCUGACAUAAGUAACGAUAAAGCGGGUGAAAAGCCCGCUCGCCGGAAGACCAAGGGUUCCUGUCCAACGUUAAUCGGGGCAGGGUGAGUCGACCCCUAAGGCGAGGCCGAAAGGCGUAGUCGAUGGGAAACAGGUUAAUAUUCCUGUACUUGGUGUUACUGCGAAGGGGGGACGGAGAAGGCUAUGUUGGCCGGGCGACGGUUGUCCCGGUUUAAGCGUGUAGGCUGGUUUUCCAGGCAAAUCCGGAAAAUCAAGGCUGAGGCGUGAUGACGAGGCACUACGGUGCUGAAGCAACAAAUGCCCUGCUUCCAGGAAAAGCCUCUAAGCAUCAGGUAACAUCAAAUCGUACCCCAAACCGACACAGGUGGUCAGGUAGAGAAUACCAAGGCGCUUGAGAGAACUCGGGUGAAGGAACUAGGCAAAAUGGUGCCGUAACUUCGGGAGAAGGCACGCUGAUAUGUAGGUGAAGUCCCUUGCGGAUGGAGCUGAAAUCAGUCGAAGAUACCAGCUGGCUGCAACUGUUUAUUAAAAACACAGCACUGUGCAAACACGAAAGUGGACGUAUACGGUGUGACGCCUGCCCGGUGCCGGAAGGUUAAUUGAUGGGGUCAGCGCAAGCGAAGCUCUUGAUCGAAGCCCCGGUAAACGGCGGCCGUAACUAUAACGGUCCUAAGGUAGCGAAAUUCCUUGUCGGGUAAGUUCCGACCUGCACGAAUGGCGUAAUGAUGGCCAGGCUGUCUCCACCCGAGACUCAGUGAAAUUGAACUCGCUGUGAAGAUGCAGUGUACCCGCGGCAAGACGGAAAGACCCCGUGAACCUUUACUAUAGCUUGACACUGAACAUUGAGCCUUGAUGUGUAGGAUAGGUGGGAGGCUUAGAAGUGUGGACGCCAGUCUGCAUGGAGCCGACCUUGAAAUACCACCCUUUAAUGUUUGAUGUUCUAACGUUGACCCGUAAUCCGGGUUGCGGACAGUGUCUGGUGGGUAGUUUGACUGGGGCGGUCUCCUCCUAAAGAGUAACGGAGGAGCACGAAGGUUGGCUAAUCCUGGUCGGACAUCAGGAGGUUAGUGCAAUGGCAUAAGCCAGCUUGACUGCGAGCGUGACGGCGCGAGCAGGUGCGAAAGCAGGUCAUAGUGAUCCGGUGGUUCUGAAUGGAAGGGCCAUCGCUCAACGGAUAAAAGGUACUCCGGGGAUAACAGGCUGAUACCGCCCAAGAGUUCAUAUCGACGGCGGUGUUUGGCACCUCGAUGUCGGCUCAUCACAUCCUGGGGCUGAAGUAGGUCCCAAGGGUAUGGCUGUUCGCCAUUUAAAGUGGUACGCGAGCUGGGUUUAGAACGUCGUGAGACAGUUCGGUCCCUAUCUGCCGUGGGCGCUGGAGAACUGAGGGGGGCUGCUCCUAGUACGAGAGGACCGGAGUGGACGCAUCACUGGUGUUCGGGUUGUCAUGCCAAUGGCACUGCCCGGUAGCUAAAUGCGGAAGAGAUAAGUGCUGAAAGCAUCUAAGCACGAAACUUGCCCCGAGAUGAGUUCUCCCUGACUCCUUGAGAGUCCUGAAGGAACGUUGAAGACGACGACGUU
rnacentral:rRNA from 1 species